GUGUGAACACAUUUGGCACCAAUGUGUUUGGACAGAUGUUUGUCCCCUCUUUCCGCCUCCCCAGCAAGUACACUGGAGAGUUGAUAGGCAUCGACUACCUGUACAUGCAGACGGGGAAGUGCAUGCAGGACAUGGAUCCUGAGGGGGAGGAGACGGAGCAGCUGCUGGAGGACCUGGCCGACGAGGCAGAGGAUGAG